UUUAACAGAUGAAGAACAAGGAGUAUGAAGAGUUGUGUCCACAGAAGAACAAAGAACAAGUCAGCAAGAAAGCAAAGGAGACAGCCAGAGGCAAACUUCCUUAGUGAGAGAAGUCUUAGGAUAAAGCCUGACAUGGUUCAGCUGCAAAAGAUAUGCUCUACUGUGCUGAGAAGAAAGAACAAACUUCUAUGAGAAAUGAGGUGAUUUUGAUCUGUAUUGAGCUUGAUCUAUUAAAUACAGUGCCAAAUUCAGGUCAGACUAUGGAGAAAAUAUCCUCAUAUCCUUAGAAAUUAAUAAUCUUGCCUCUUAGAGACAGAUUAAUAUUGAGAAGUAGAAGAAAGACAUUAGCACAAAAUUUGAAGGAAGGACAUGGAGUUUGCUUUUCCUGAAAGCACUAUCUUCCUUUUUUCAAUUAAGAACAAACAUCAAGAAGGCUGUUGAUUACCUGUGGUUUUUAGUUCUGAAGCUUUAGACAGCAAAGAAAGAUUUACUUUGCUGCAUGGUUAUAGUUCCAAGACUUGGUGGCAGACCAGUGAAUUAAAAAUAUUUAUUCUAAAUUAACUGAACCAUUUCCAGUAUUGUGCACUUAGCUGUAAAGCUCUGAGGUAAAAUUAACAGUAAAAAAGAUAAGUUAUCUGAUGACUAUGGGAAUGCAUCAGGGGUGUGCAACUUCCCUGUCCUUGCUGGUUUGUUUCUUGAGUAAUCAUUUUCUUCUCCCUCUGCCAUGCUUGGUGAUUUAGGCUCUGGUAACAGUGUGAUUGCCACACUGCAGCCCUCAGCAAAGCCACGCAGGGUCCCAUGUGAGAAUUUGGAUCAGGAGGGUCCUGCUGCUGUUGUUACAAUCAACCACCCAGCAACUGCUGGGGCUUUGGCUCUGCUGGGCUCUGAUGUCAACACAGUCCCUGCACAAGGUGCCUUCUGCUGGUGAGAUCAACACGAUGUCAAAACCUUUCUUUGCAGUUAGAGAUCAAAUAGAGCAGUUUAGCUCAAGAUUAGCGCUGGCUUCCUACAGUCUUCUGGAUGAAAAUGGGUAUUUUGGCUUAUUCCCCGCAGCAGCUGACUAACCACAAAUAAAGCCUUGCCAGUGGCCCGUGCUCUAAUCCAUGGCUCGGUGACCAGAGCUCUCUGUGAUUGUGUGUGUGUGCUCAUGUCUGUGAAAUGAGGAGCACAGAGUUUCAUUUCUCUCUACCUUGGGUCUCCAUCACUAGGGAACAGAUAACAUUCCUUUUGCUACUCUGAUAGAAAUGCCACUCAUUUUUAGGCUGAUACCCUAAAGGCACCCAUACCUUGACUUUAUAAUUACAUAUGGCUAAAGGCAGCGUUAAAAUCUCGUGUUCUCUCUCUAAUUCUUGCAAGUUCUUCUGCGGAGGAAGUUUUUAAGGAAGAAAAAAGUAAUUCAGCUUAUCUCUUUUUGUCUUUUCUUUACAGACAUUUCCAACAAUGGAAAGUUUCACAAGAGGUACACCCACAAGAGAGCAAGAAGGAAGGAGAAUAUUCCAAAUACAACUUUUGCAAGCAAAAAAGAGAACUAAGCGAGUCAUUUGUAAUGUUACGUACAAAGGAUUCUGGGGCUGUGAUCUUUAGCUUUUGCCCUGAAUUUAAUACUGAAGAUCACUCAACCAUGAUGAAACCAGCUGGAUGAAAUUCCUCUCCUGCAAGACAUGAAGGCCAGUGACGAGCUUCUGAAGGUUCUCGAGAUCAUGCUGUCUGCAUAUCUUAUACCUACAUAUCUGCCCCUAACCUGACUCCAAACUAUCUGCAGGCUUGAUGGGGCUCUGAGCAGCCUGGUCUGGUGGAAGGUCCCUGCCCAUGGCAUGGGGGUUACAAGCAGAUGGUCUUUUCCAAUGACCAUUCUAUGAUUCUGUCAAACCUUUGGGUCAGAUUCUGCCAGAUGUCAGCUAAAUCCGAGUUCCAGCUGAAGAGAAGGAACAACAUUGAUUUUAAUGUUUAUUAGAGCACAGGAAGUGUGCUCAGAAAAGAGACAGCAAUAGACUGGAGCAGAGUUCAAAUCUCUCAAAAUACAGCCAAAUCCAAGUGCUCAGCACACUGUUGUAGAAAGCCAAGCUCCACUUUACAGUGCUUGACUUUAUUUAAAAAUGCAAAUGGCUGCAGCCCCCCAUCCAUCUGAUCUGCCAGAGAAGAGGAGUUUGAGGAGGUACAGCAGAGCACACAAGAGUGCUUUCAGUACAUCUUGUUAUGCUGCAGCAGAAAACUCCAAAAUGAAGCCUGAAGACUUAAUGUAUCAAUGAACACUAAUUUUGCCUUUCACUGAAGGUACAGAAGAAGCUAUAAACACUUCUAUAAACCCUGUAGAGAGUCCCUGCACAGUUGUUUGCAGACACUGUCUCCCCAGAUGAUUAACAAACAGCAGUAAUGGGUCUGUAUUUGAGCACAACGCUGCUGGAGUUAAUAUGCAGAUCCUUCCUUGUUUGGGAAAGGCAUUUUCUAGAUGUUUGAGACUGGGCUGGUUAAUCAUCAAAACUGGAGUCACUCAGGCAAGAGGUACUUCAGAGAUGAGACAGCAGGAAAAAAAAAAAAGGCUGCUCUGUUUGCUAAAGGUGACAGAUUUGACAUUUUGUUUCUUCUGGAAGACAGGUGCUUCAUUUGUGUUGACAUCAGGGAGUAUGGUCAUAUAAGAUUGUGUAGACUAUUUUAUUGAUACUGAAUACAGGCAAAAAUUUGUGGGGUUUUAUUAUUGUAUUUUUUAACAAUCACAUUUUGCAAGACAUUGUCUAUGGACAGAAAGAAACACUGCAUAUAGCAACUCUUAACAAUUAACCAGAAUUCUUGCACCAACAGUGCAACAGGGCACAAAAUCUUCUCCUCUUGUUAUAUCCAGUUUGGAUUUUCCACACUUGAUUUGGAUUUCUGCCAGCAGAAGCACUGGGCCAACACCAUUUUCUUUCAACCUUUCCUACUAAAAUUGCAAGACACAAAUUUCUGUCAAAGAGCAUUUGCUGGCCUGGAGAGGUGAUGUAUUCUGGUGUUUGUGAAACGCUGUGAAGAUGCAGAACGCUUCAGGCCUGCUGCCUGCUCUGAAGGAGGACCAGAACAGGUGGGGAUGGACACUCAGAGCUCAGGGAGGAGGAAAGGUCUGUUUGCUUGCACAGGAGGCAGUGCUGAGGUGUGGUGAGUUGAAGGGAAGAGCUCAAGGGCAGGGUGCUGAGGCGUUUGGGAGAGCAGAGCUGCUGUCAGCCCCCACUCCAGAUUUGAAUGCAUUUGUUACCGUGACGAGGCUAACACUUUCUCUUUUGUGCUAACUUUGGUUCAUUGCAGUGCACAUCCUCCCCCUCUCCUUCUUGAGCAUCUGCUGAGGUCACAUCUCCCCCCUGCUCCCCUUGCCUCCGCGUUUUGGGGAUGAACACUCAUUAUUGCUUUCAGCGCCCAGCAGGUGCCCAGCCUCUCCCCCAGGACAGGGACACAUGGCAUUGCUGUGACAGAGUGGCACUUACACCGGGGACCAGGACACUGGCAAUCCCAGCACAAAAAGAGAGCUGAAGAAGCAUCCACACUGUGCAUUCUGAGAGGCUUAAGCUGUGCCCAGGCAGCAAGGCCAGCUCAGGACACCGCAGUCCUUCCCUGGGCUGGGGAGGGAGGGACUGGCUAUGUGCUCAGGGUCUGCAGCAUAUCCACAUGGCUUUGCUGCCACUGGACCCUACUCAGCACCACCCCAGGGGGAGGAGGACAUUGGAUCAAGAACUACACACGGUUGCUGGGCUACAUCCUAUUUUGUCCUCCAAAUUCAGGACAAAGGGACAGAAAUUAAGUGAAAGUCAGAAGAUGCUGCACGUCCAAUGGAACAACUGUUAGUAUUUUUAAUCUGCUACAAGUUCUGAUCUGCUGGACACUGGGCCACCAGCCUUUCCCUGCUGCUUCAUAUUUCAGAUGCCUUAUGUAAGCCAUUCAGAUUCCUUCCAGUACCUGCUUUGGCACCCUUGCAGCAGGUUUUUACUCUGUUGGUGUAGGCACCUCAGCCUCAGUUCAGUGACAACAGAGGAAUUGCUGUCCUGCACAUCAUUGCUUGGCUUGUACUUGUCAUGGUCUGGAUGUACCACCUCCAGACAGGGAUGGGGAGCAUGCUGGUGAAUCCUGCCCUGACAACAAAGAGAGCAGGAAGAAUGUCUCCAACAGAAAAUUCCAGACUAAAUCUAAAUUAAAUCCUUCUUUGGCCUUCCUAAGCCCUAAGUAGCCCUUGCUGAAGCUUUUAUUUUUCAGCUUAACUCUUGAAGUAUCUUACACAUUCUGUACCCAGGGAAUAUCUGCUAAUAAGGUCUGAGCAUACACUUGCAAUUUCUUUCAAAGCUAACUAACACUAACCUAUCCCUUCAGGACUCCACCUUAAUUACUAUAACUUUACUCCUACUCCUGGUUUAUAUAUUGCUGCUCUGUGUUCUAGAUUGAUUCUUUUCAGAUGGAGCAGGUUCUGGGAUUUGGGGGAGUGUAGAUCAUCCGUGAGACAGGAAGAGGGGAGAAGGAGCAAGAAAUGGUCAAACAAGUUAGAAAAUAUCUCCAGUCUAGCAGCCCCAAAAUUUGCACAACAAAGGAAUAGAAAUGAAGACAAAAAAAAAAAAAUUGGCACCUCAGAAUUUAGGGGCUGCAGAGAACGAUCCAGCUGAUUUAUUUUAUGCAAGAAAAUUUCCCUAAAAUAUACCAAUUCAGAUGAAGUGAAACAAUGCAUGUGAACUGACUUAGAUUAACAAUACAGAGAGAAAAAAGUGAGUGCAGCAGUUUUUAUGUAUUAACUUUCAUGUACACAUUUUUAAAACAACAUAUUUCAGUGCAGGCAUGCCAGUUGCAGGGGUAUAUUUUCAAGCUGAAAAGACUGGACCCUUCAUGCUGAGACAGGAAUUUUUACUGACAAAUUGACCUAGGAGUGAUAUUUUAACAGAGAAAAGUUUAUAAUGGAAAAUAAUCCAAAGCUGAAGAAAACCAUUUUUUUUGAAAUAUCCAUUUUUACUUCCUCUAAACUGAUUUUCUCCAACACUUUUAUUUUCUAUUUCUGCCAUUAAAUCCCAAAGUCAGGGUUUUACUGUGCUUCAGCCCUUCAGGCUGUGCUGUUCUGACUCCUCAGCACUCCAAGGGCCCUGCAGGAAUUAAGUGCCUCUCACAAUAGGACAUUUCUCACAAUAGGAAAUUUCCAGGGUGAAGGUUUAAUUUGGUUUUGGACUGUGUGACUAAGUGGAUGAAAAAGCAAACAAGAACUUCCUCAUGCCUCUCCAUCAGUUCUGCUAAUGGGAGCUCUAAGAGUAAACGAGUUGAUUUGCUGGGUUAUGGGUGGGAAAUGAACUGGAGCAAUCCUCCACCCACCACAUGUGCAGCCCAAAGCAAUUUAGCCACCUAGGAAAUCAGGAAAACUGGGAUGUGCUGCUGGUCCAGGGCAGCCAUGUGCUGUUAUCCUCUCCAGGUAGGAAGGCAAUGCCAUGAAAGCUCAGGUCAGUGGAACUCCAUGGCACCACACUCGUGUUAGAAGAGCUUUGCAGUGAACACCAGAGUGUUUCUGGGUUUAGACAGAUGAGUUGGUCAUGGAUUUCUGGUGCAGCAUAUUCAAUUGAUCAUUUGUUGAACAUACACAGAGCAACAGUGAGCUACUUCAGCAACUCAGCAUCCCACAUAAUUUCCCUUUCCCUUCUGGGGAGUCCUUCAGGAAUCAUUCUGUAUGGACCUGUCCAGUAGUAGCCCCCCAAAUUCUCCCCCUGGAUCACAGCAGAAGAUGCCCAGAGCCUGUGUUUUGCUGUCAGCUCUGCAGUCCCAGGCACAGGAAAAGGGACACCAGUUCUUUCCUAAAAACAGGGAUGGAUUGGGGAGUGUGUUGCUAUCCCACUCAGCUUCCUCACAACACCCACCUGAAGCAGGUAAACACCUUUUUUUUAAUAGAGAUGUGUUAUCUGGUGGAUGUGGCCAUCCCAGAGGCACAUCCAGGCUGGGCUGUCCUGCUGCACAGAACGCAGGGCAGAGCAGGGAUGCAGGAUGUGACUCCCAAAUCUGUGUAACCACUUUGGUGCAUGCCAUGCCCUGCCCACCUUGGGGACCAGCUUGGGAACCAGCUUUUCCUUGGGGAUCCCAACCAAUGCACCCCUGUCUGGGGCACACAUUCCCUUAGACAGUGAGCAGCAGGGACAGGAGCACUGUGUGAAUGUUCUGCUUUUAGUCUUCUUUGUCAGCAAAACUGUACUUCUGUCCUGGGAAUACCCCAGCAAUGCAUAGCUUCUGCUGAUGAGCUAGGAUUAGAAGGACUUUACAUAAGGCUGUUUGAUUAAGUGGCUAUUAUCAACUGAAAACUUGGUGCUUCCCAUUAAGUACUCUCAAACCUGUGUCCUCAUUUUACUUAUUUUGUGCUUGUAUUAUGCUUCAAAAGAGGCAGCCUGCCCUUUUUGCCUCAUCCAGGCCCUUUAGCCAACACUAAUAAGGUGUUCUGUCUUGUUCAGUGCUAGUUUAAGGAAUGCAAUGCCCUGAUGGAGCCCUUCCUUAAAGGUGUUUCUCUAAAAUCAGCACAUCACCCUGUACUUUGCUGUGGAAAUGGGCCCCAACCCUGUGAACUUUCUGCUCCUGACCAGAUCCUUCAGCACCUCUCCCUGGAGGCAGCUCUCUCCUUCCAGCAGAUCAAAGCCUGCAUCACUGACAAAGGACUAAAACAAUAAGGCUCUCACCUUUUGUCUUUGUUUCUAUUGCUGUGCCAGUGCAAUUUGAUUUCCCCUUUUGCAGCAUCUGUGCUCAGGCUGCAGUGAUUUCCCAUAAUAGUCCAAUAUACUUUUCAUGAUCCAUGUUCAAUUUAUAUCCACACCCCACUUUAAUCCUUCUGUCUAGAUCAGUUAUUUCAUACUUUCGUACAUCAAAUUGCUUUCACCAUCUGUUGGCCCAGUUGCCCUACAUAAGCCAAACCCUCUGAAGGUAUAAUUGCAAUAUUGUUCAUUAUUUGCUCAUUCCCCUUCCUCCCAAUAUACAUAAUGACAGCAAAAUGAAGAAAUAAUUUAAAUCUAAUUUAAAUUCCUUUCAGGUUUUUUACACUGUGCUGAUCAAAAUAGUAGCUAGGGUCUUCAAAAGAAGAAGCCAUCCAUCUCAGAAGAGCCUUGAUGCCCUUGGAUAGCUAUCUGUGAAAACAAGUGAAUUUUUGUAGGACUGGAGCACCACAUAGCAGCAUUUAACUAAGCUGACAGCAAAUGCUAUCAGCACAUCAGCAUGCUGUUAAAUCAUUGCACAGAAGAAUUCCAAUCUGGUUAAACAGGAUCUGAUUUUAUACUGCCACUUCCAUGAAAACAUUAUUUCUCUUUAUUUUCAUCUCUAUUUCAGCCAGAGCUCGUUGUGCUGGGGCUGUGCACUGUGCAUCGUGCUUGGGCAGUUUUUCAGGCAUUCACAGAGAAAACUUGUAAGCACCAAGCCUCUUCCCCAGGGAUAACUAUUCCUUGAGCUUUGAUUUAACUUUUCCUACAGUCAGGAGGCCACCCACAGAGCUCCAGUUCUGCCUGACCUGCUUCAUUUCUGCCUCGGCGUUAACAGCGAGGGCACAAAGGGGCAUCAUUCCCUGGCAAGAUCCAAAGGUUAAUUCAGACUUGGGUUUGCAUUUACCUUUAGGACUUCCAGUGGGGAGGAAACGGCUGCAGAGCUGGGGGAAGCACCCCUGCCCAGCAUCAGAGGCACACACUCAGUGCAAUACAUUCCACCAGCACCCAGCUCCUGCAGGAGUAACUUCAGUGGAGAUAAAUAAGACAUGUAAUUUCUUGUCAGGCUGUUGCAUUUCCCACCGCUCGUUUUAACAAUUACACUCUGUGACUUUUUUUUAUUAAACAACCGAAAAGAAUAGAUUUGUGUAACCCAGGAAGAAAAAUUGCCUGGAGAAAUGAAACAUACCCAGACUUAAUUUUCUCUCCUGCGCUUUUUGAGGUGUUUGAAAUGAAUGUGUUUUCAGUACAGCAGUCAGUAACAAGAGCUGUGGUUUAGGCACUUCUUUGCCACGCUCACCUCUUCACCAGCCAAUUUCAUUACAGACAAACCCAGGCAGAAUUAAAGGGCCCAUCCAAGCCAUGCACAACUUUCUCCUCCUGAAACCAAUGGAAACACUGCCACAGUUUACAACAGGGAUUGCCAAAAUCCCACCAUUAUUUCAUAUGCUGCUUUCUCCAAGCCUCAUUUUUAAAGCAAUUAAUAGGAGGAGUGAUUGACCUUUAGCAAGCCAUAUCCCAGCAGGAUUUGUAAUCAAUGCUUCUUCCGAGUGCUUCUUUGCACUGACAUCUGUACCAAUUAGCGGCUUCUCCUACAGAAAGGUUACACAAACACCAUUUUAUUUCUUAUUAUUAAUUAUUUUUCACACAGGGCCAAGUUUUAAACAGCUGCCUGGACCUAAUGUCUUCAAUAUUGGAUUUGCUCUUGUAAGAAGCAGGCUGCUUUUAAGACUGACCUAGAAAAUAGAUAUUCGAGGAGCAGGCAUGCUAAAAGAGCUGAAGCACUUCAUUUUGCUUUCAAGACCAGAAGGUUGCACAUAAAACACACUCUAAUACUCAUGACUACAACUUCAAUGCUUUUUUAGACAGUGAUGAUUCUGAACUCAAGACCAGCCUGGUGUAAACAGAUAAUAGGAUCAAUCUGAAACCAUCUUUCUUUGUUCAACUGGUGCACCUUUGAAACAAAAAUAAAAUGUAGAAGAAUAAAAUUGAACUUUGAAGACCAAAUAGAGAAGAUACUGAGACAUCAACCUUUCCUCUAGAAAUAUUUCUGUUUGAUUCCAAUUCAAGAAAAUGUAACAUGAUAUCAUGGUCUCACCCUUAUCAGGAUUGGGAGGAGAAUGGAAAAAAGGUAAAGCUCGUGGGUUGAGGAAAGAACAGUUCAAUAAGUGGAAGAAAAUAAAAUAUACUGAUAAUACUAUCCACAAUAUUAACAAUAAUAAUUGUAAUGAAUGUGUUAAGAAUGGGGAAGAUUGGGAAAGGAGAAUGGUUGGGGAAUAAUGGCUUUUGUUCCACACGAUGAGCGAAUCAUUAAAAUGCAUCUCACUGUACCUUGAAUAAGUCUCUCGUGAGGGACAGAAUACAAUCCCCUUGAAUCAGCUACAAGAGUUUUGUUGGGUGUAUUUUUUUUUCCAGGUAGAACAAGCUGAAUCUUCCCUAGUAUCGUUAUUUUGGUUGGAAUUGGUGCCUGGCAGAACAGGUCCCUCCCUCAUGGCUGGGGCAGGAUGGGUCAAGGCUUCCACAGAGGAGACUGCUGCUUCAAAAAUCAAGGACAUUGAUAAAGUUGAAGAAAGGCUUGAAGGAGUAAGUGUCCAGUGUUGCCUCUACUACUGAGUUUCAGGGCAAUUUUUAAGGCAACAUCUAGGUUACAAACAUGAAAACACGGCAUUCCAGACUCGCCGCCAUCUGAACGUGGCUGACGGUGAAUGCUCAUUUCUAUCAUUUCUCACCAGGGUGAGUAUUGAUUUCAUUUCUCACACUACACCAGUCACUUGACCAAGCUGCAAUCCAAUAUUUAAUGUGUUAGUCACACUGGCUUGUGGGGGCCUGUGGUCUGUAGUCUAUCAUAUGGUGACCUUUAUGGUGACUGGCAUAGCCUUAAUCGUGUUAGAAAACGCUGAUAUAGAGGUAUUCACAUCAUUAUUUCUAGCACUGGCAAAAGGAUUGUUGAAGAAGUAAGGUAUGAGUAGAGUGGCAUUUACUGUUCCCUGUGGACAAGUGGAGUGAUUUGUUGUACAGUUUAAUGCUGGGGUAGCUUUUAAGGACAAGGACAAAACGUUGGCUGCAUAGGCAGCUGAGAGGAGGUAAAUGGUUUCUUUUAGGUGAAGGAGUGCUCAGAACAGAGGCAUCAAGGCUGAAAUUCCUCAUCUUAACUGCUUGCACAGCUUUUCCCAGCAACAUCAUUCCCCUCCAAAAGCACUGUGCAGAGAGUUUGAACCUCAAAAUGAGGGAUAAGCCAGUGACACUUUGAAGUCCAGUAAAAUCUUCAUGUUCUGAAGAUGCUCAGAUACUCUGGGAGCACACAGACAUUAAAAAUGGCCAGGAGAGCCCAGCCCACAGGGAAUUUGCAAUACAAGCAGCUGACCUAUGAGCUGGAAGGUCUUUGCUCCCAUGAGAGGCCCUGAUAGCAGAAACUGUUUUUCAUUGAGACCAGUCUCAUCCCUCAAUGUCCUCUCCCUUUAAGAAAUAAACUAAAGGGAUCAAUAUUGUUCCAUGUUAAUUUUGCCAUUUUCUAGCCUUCCUUGUAAUCUUUGAACUGUUUCCACUUUCCAAACCAUCCUUCCCUUCUAUAAACAUUAUCACCUGUCCAAAACAUUUUGCAGUUAUUGCAUGAGCUGUAUCCUCGUCCUCCAGAAGAGUAAGAAGCUGUGAUUGAUGGUGAGAUCCUCCCCACUGUGAAGGGUUAACCUGAAUUUUAGGUGUUACUCAAGCUCCCAGGCUGACCCUCAGUGAAAAUUAAUAGCUUGUUUCUGUUUAAUAUUCCUUUCCAGUACAUUGUCAAAUCGUUUCAUCUGUGCUGAAAUGGAUCAGUGGUUUUCAUCUUCAGUGUUUCCUCAUUCCUCUUUGGGGUUUUACUAAUUCUUUAUUGUUUAUAGGUAUUUUUAAAAUCAUAGAAGAUUCUUUUGUUCAUUGCUUUUAUUUUUAUUUCAUAAGGAUUUCAUAAAGUUGGAGGUAAAGGACAGACAUCACAUUAACUUAUCAAUGUUAUCUUGCUCCAACUAAAAAGUGGACCACAUCUAUGCCUUUUAUAAGUUAUAUUACAGAUAUGGCAGUGUCAUCAUUUGCAGCUAAUCAAAAUAUGCCAGUUGGGCACAGAUUUUCUAAACACACGUAUCAGUCUUAUUUGUCAUGCAAGUCAUAAAUUUAAACUGAUGCAUCUGUUACAACCAUUGGUGCAGGAGAUGGAAAAGAUCCAUGGGGAGGCUUUCAGCUUUCCAUUUAGUGCUAAAGUGGAACAGAACUCUAUCAGAUGUAUGAUUAUUGCCAUUAUUAUUUAAUAUCCCCCUCUGCCUCCCCCGUGCAUUAGCCACUUAACAGAAAGCACGAGUGCAGCCCUUCUCUCAGACUGCUUGCCAUGCAAGUGACAGACUGGUGUCCAAGGGACAAUAAAGCAUAUUUCAAAGAGGAUGGCCAGGAUCCUCCUGGAAUGGCUGCAUGGUUGCUCAGGAGAGGGAGGCCAGCUGGCUGGUGGACACACAGGGAUUGGGGGGUUGGUGUUGCUGCUGAAGUGUAAAUAUGAUGGUGCAGCCAUGAGUUUUCAAGAAUAGCACGAUGGUGAAUGAAUUCAAGGAGUGAUUGUGAGCACUGAUACUUCAUUAGCACCAAAGACUGACGGAAAGAAAGAAGUAUAAAGAAAUAUACUGCAGAUGCUGAAUAACAGAGGUGAUAAGCUGAUCCAACUGCUGCUGUAAAUCUGGCCCUUAGGCCUGGGUUCAGAUGCUCUGCAAGCUCUGGGCAGUGUCUAAGCUUUGCGUGCCCUCAGGCUUGCAUUAGCCAUGCUUCCAAGCUCCAGAACUUUUUUCUUUCAACAGUGCCCCUGACAACUCCAGCUUGAAGUCUGUUCUUGUGCUGUUUCUGCAGGAUGCACAUGCCUGACUUGGGAAAAAAAUCCUCACUACACUUUGCAGGUCACAGAGUUAACAAGUUUAUAAGAAAACCUUAUGUACAUCAACCUUGGGCAAAGGCAGGGGACAUCCUUUGUGCCUCCAGGUGACCCCUGGAGCCCAGUGAUGGCCACAUCCAUCACCCAGAUGAGCUUUCCUGGGGAAAGCAUGCUUUGAAUUUGUUCAGACCUUAAUGAGUUAUCUACAAACCAUCAAAUAUUUCACAUUCCAUAUGGAUCAUCGGGGUUUCCUAAAUGACACCAUCAGCUAGGGUGGCUGCAAGGAUCGUAAAUAACUCCUUCAGUUUAAUGAGUUACAUGAGGAAAAGCUGCUCCACCAGGUAAUGAGUCACAGCUUCACUUUGUUGUAGAUCAGCUGAGACACUUGAUUUACUGUGAGGGUUACCUGUAUUAAAACUAAUCAGAGACUAUCCAGGAAACCCAAACAGACCCAACCUACCACAAUUUAAUCUCCCCACAAAUAAAACCCACUCAUAAAUCAGAGCCAGCAUGUAAAUGUGUCCCUCUAAUGCUUCUAUUAGGAAACCUAAACCCAAAAAAAGCUCAUAGGAUGUGAAAACUGUGGUAAUGUUGGUGGUAUCAGUCUAAUUCAUAGCACAGAAGGAGAUGUAAGAUACAUUCUGAUGGCUAAAUAAUCAAGAUAGAGAAAACACUUUGAUAGAUAUGUUGAAGUCUCUAUUUUCAUUUUGAAAUGUAAAAUGGA